AUCCCCCAAACUAAGGGGGGAUGAGAACCACCGACCGGGGUUCGACAACUGGCGCAGCCAGUUGGACAGACGACGAGCUUGCGAGGAGACUGCCCGAAGGGCGAGCGCAGCGAGUCAAUCCCCUCCUCACCGCCA
rnacentral:sRNA from 1 species